GGGCCCGCACAAGCGGUGGAGUAUGUGGUUUAAUUCGAUGCAACGCGAAGAACCUUACCAGGGUUUGACAUCCUGCGAAUCUCUUGGAAACGAGAGAGUGCCUUCGGGAACGCAGUGACAGGUGGUGCAUGGCUGUCGUCAGCUCGUGUCGUGAGAUGUUGGGUUAAGUCCCGCAACGAGCGCAACCCACGUCGUUAGUUGCCAGCAUUUAGUUGGGCACUCUAGCGAGACCGCCGGUGAUAAACCGGAGGAAGGUGUGGAUGACGUCAAGUCAUCAUGCCCCUUACAUCCUGGGCUACACACGUACUACAAUGCUACGGACAAAGGGCUGCAAGUUCGCGAGGACAAG
rnacentral:rRNA from 1 species